UACGGGGGGAGCAAGCGUUGUUCGGAUUUACUGGGCGUAAAGGGUGCGUAGGCGGCGCGGUAAGUCGGGUGUGAAAUCUCGGAGCUUAACUCCGAAACUGCAUUCGAUACUGCCGUGCUUGAGGACUGGAGAGGAGACUGGAAUUUACGGUGUAGCGGUGAAAUGCGUAGAUAUCGUAAGGAAGACCAGUGGCGAAGGCGGGUCUCUGGACAGUUCCUGACGCUGAGGCACGAAGGCCAGGGGGAGCAAACGGGG
rnacentral:rRNA from 1 species